GGGGAAUUUUGGACAAUGGGCGCAAGCCUGAUCCAGCCAUGCCGCGUGUCUGAAGAAGGCCUUCGGGUUGUAAAGGACUUUUGUCAGGGAAGAAAAGGACAGGGUUAAUACCCCUGUCUGAUGACGGUACCUGAAGGAUAAGCACCGGCUAACUACGUGCCAGCAGCCGCGGUAAUACGUAGGGUGCGAGCGUUAAUCGGAAUUACUGGGCGUAAAGCGAGCGCAGACGGUUACUUAAGCAGGAUGUGAAAUCCCCGGGCUCAACCUGGGAACUGCGUUCUGAACUGGGUGACUAGAGUGUGUCAGAGGGAGGUAGAAUUCCACGUGUAGCAGUGAAAUGCGUAGAGAUGUGGAGGAAUACCGAUGGCGAAGGCAGCCUCCUGGGAUAACACUGACGUUCAUGCUCGAAAGCGUGGGUAGCAAACAGGAUUAGAUACCCUGGUAGUCCACGCCCUAAACGAUGUCAAUUAGCUGUUGGGCAACUUGAUUGCUUAGUAGCGUAGCUAACGCGUGAAAUUGACCGCCUGGGGAGUACGGUCGCAAGAUUA
rnacentral:rRNA from 1 species